rnacentral:lncRNA from 1 species
CCCUCUCACACCAAAAUUAAGAUAUAUACCCUAUAUUUAUACUAUAGGGUUCUCUUUAUUUAAGUUGACUGGGUUCUUCUUCUAGCUAAAAGAGGAGAAAGUUGUAAGUUCUUUACCAUUCUGCAGAGGUCCAUUCUCUUUAUUUGAGAUAGAUUCCUUUUUUAAUUAAAAGAGGAUAAAUAGUUUUCUCUUUUCAUCCUAGUUAGAAGAGGACAAAAAGUUUUCCUUUUAUAUGCUUUUGAAGUCCAGCCCAAAUUGGAUUGGAUUUUUCUCCUAUUUAAAAGAAGAUGCAAAUCAAAACAACAAUGAUAAAUAUUUUAGAAGAUUUUUAGAUUGGGGUAAAGCUAGAUCUUGACUUCUAUAUACACUUUAUCUUCAAAUGGAUCACCAAAAUUCUUCUUGAAUGGAUAGUUAUAGCUUUUGAAGUUUCAAUACUUGAUUGAGUCCUAAAUAU